UCACAAGAAAGAUAAUUAGUUCUACUUGAUUAAUUGCACAUGAUUUAAUUCAGUCAAACGAAAUGAAACUCCAUCCAACGUGAUGAAUUAAACAAAAUUGAAGCUAAACAUGAAUAUUUGUUUAAUUUCAUAUAUUUAUUCCCUUCCAGUUUUGCUAAGUGCAUUCGACAUGGAAAGAAGAAGAUGGUUGACAUAAGGAAUAUUAGUUCCAAGAAAAACAAGCACAUCAAGAAAAUUAAGGGGCUGGUUCCAUACUUUAUUCUCCAAGUAAAAGAUGAUGAGCUCUUCAUCUGUUGGGAGGAAUCUGUACCCGGGAGGC